rnacentral:sRNA from 1 species
GGCUUCGAGAAAUACAAUCUCAGUCACUUCCUUGAAGCCAAAACUAACAAGAUCGAGCAUGGUGGGCACCGACUCCAGGGAGACAAGGGAGAGAUCAAGAUGCAGCGUGACUCAACCGGUAUCCCCUCACGAUGUAAAAACAGUGUAAUCACAUAUCGUCGCGUGUGCUUCAGCUAUGGAUUCUUGCUAGAUAGACUCCAUCUCCAGUUCAUCUCCCUGCCUACAGAUGCUCACCCAGUCUCUAAUGUGUGGAUGGAGACGGCGCAGACAGCGUUACUGCACCUCUGGAGCGCAAAAUGAGUUCUUUUCCAGAAUUCGCCAUGUGACUGAAAUUUUGUGACGCGCAGUGCAGCCUAUUUUGACCGGCUUUCAUUUUUACCCCCACCUCCUGUUCUCAACUUGAUCGGCAAGCAUCAGAGAUUUUCUUGAUCUUACCCAGGAGCAAGCAUCACAGGGUAUGGUCCCUAGAAGUUUGUAGCAACACGGUGUGACCAGACAUGGCCGAGAGGGGAUGCCUCUCCAGUCUUUCCUCCCAGAUUAGCAGAAUGAAGUGGGCAUGUGGCAGCCUGGAGUCAGAUGGCAGCGGACACGUGACCGACUGAUGUCAGAACCCACCCAUCACCUGCCUGAAAUGGUCAUCCCUGAGACAGCCCCAAAGGGCCAUACCAUGACAAUAUCCCCGUACUGGGCAGCCUGAUUCCAACCUGAGGUACUUCCUGUUGCCUUUGAGACCAGAUAAACCAUCCCUGAGCUGCCCUGAGACUCCAUUUUCCACGAACUUUAGCCUGAAGUUAGUAAGACCACUUACCUCUCCCCGACCCACACCCUCUCCUCUCUCCACUUUAGCCCACCCCACCCUCACAUAUACAGCCGGACGUCAGAGGGCCCCAUUCUCUGCAAUUCCAACCAAGAAGACAUGCCCUGUGCCAGCUGAGCUGUUAUUUCGUUCUGCCGUUUUCUAGUUUAUCCCUCCUAAAGGACUCUGGGGACAUCCUCAUCCCUACCUUACAAUCCUGUAAUUACGGUCACAGUGACAGCAAAAGUCUACUCUGCUCAAGAGGCUUUCGUCAAGGGAGCUCCUUGGAGGCCAGGGGUAUGUUGAGGGCCUCGGCGGUGUGUGAACAUUGACAAUUAUUUAAGGGAAAUGCUUGCAGAGUACGGGGCAGGUGGCAAAUGGCAUCUCUUAAAUACAUAGAUUUGGUAAUUCAGAGUCUCUAUAUCUUAGUUUGGGUUUCCAGUGCUGCGAUGAAGACCAGGAUCAAAAGCAACCUGGGAGGAAAGGGUGUAUCUCAUCUCACAG